rnacentral:rRNA from 1 species
GGCGCGCCUAACACAUGCAAGUCGAACGAGAGGCUCUUCGGAGUAGUAAAGUGGCGUACGGGUGAGUAAUACAUGGGUAAUCUGCCUUUGAGCGGGGGAUAACCAGCCGAAAGGCUGGCUAAUACCCCAUACGCUUCCGGUCCUUCGGGUAAGGAAGGAAAGCCGCAUCGUGGAUGUGGCACUCGAAGAUGGGCUCAUGGCCUAUCAGCUUGUUGGUGGGGUAACGGCCUACCAAGGCUACGACGGGUAGCUGGUCUGAGAGGACGAUCAGCCACACUGGCACUGAGAUACGGGCCAGACUCCUACGGGAGGCAGCAGUGAGGAAUAUUGCGCAAUGGGCGAAAGCCUGACGCAGCGACGCCGCGUGGGGGAAGAAGGUUUUCGGAUUGUAAACCCCUUUUAGGAGGAAAGAUGGGGUGGUUUUCCACCCGGACGGUACCUCCAGAAAAAGCCACGGCUAAUUCGU